AUGAACGCUGGCGGCGUGCCUAAUACCUGCAAGUCGAGCGAACAGACGAGGAGCUUGCUCCUCUGACGUUAGUGGCGGACGGGUGAGUAACACGUGGAUAACCUACCUAUAAGACUGGGAUAACUUCGGGAAACCGGAGCUAAUACCGGAUAAUAUAUUGAACCGCAUGGUUCAAUAGUGAAAGACGGUUUUGCUGUCACUUAUAGAUGGAUCCGCGCCGCAUUAGCUAGUUGGUAAGGUAACGGCUUACCAAGGCAACGAUGCGUAGCCGACCUGAGAGGGUGAUCGGCCACACUGGAACUGAGACACGGUCCAGACUCCUACGGGAGGCAGCAGUAGGGAAUCUUCCGCAAUGGGCGAAAGCCUGACGGAGCAACGCCGCGUGAGUGAUGAAGGUCUUCGGAUCGUAAAACUCUGUUAUUAGGGAAGAACAAAUGUGUAAGUAACUAUGCACGUCUUGACGGUACCUAAUCAGAAAGCCACGGCUAACUACGUG
rnacentral:rRNA from 1 species